rnacentral:misc_RNA from 1 species
GAUGAAGAACGUAGCGAAAUGCGAUAAGUAGUGUGAAUUGCAGAAUUCAGUGAAUCAUCGAAUCUUUGAACGCACAUUGCGCCCCUUGGUAUUCCAUGGGGCAUGCCUGUUCGAGCGUCAUUUCAACCCUCGACCGACCCUUCGGGGACGGUCGGCGUUGGAGCUCGGCGCCGCCCCGGCGGUCGCCGUCUCCCAAACUCAGUGGCGGUCACGCCGCAGCCUCCCCUGCGCAGUAGCACACCUCGCUGGCGGAGAGCGGCGCGGCCACGCCGUGAAACCCCCGACCUCACCAAGGUUGACCUCGGAUCAGGUAGGAAUACCCGCUGAACUUAAGCAUAUCAAUAAGCGGAGGA